CAGCAGCCGCGGUAAUACAGAGGGUGCGAGCGUUAAUCGGAUUUACUGGGCGUAAAGCGUGCGUAGGCGGCUUCUUAAGUCGGAUGUGAAAUCCCUGAGCUUAACUUAGGAAUUGCAUUCGAUACUGGGAAGCUAGAGUAUGGGAGAGGAUGGUAGAAUUCCAGGUGUAGCGGUGAAAUGCGUAGAGAUCUGGAGGAAUACCGACGGCGAAGGCAGCCAUCUGGCCUAAUACUGACGCUGAGGUACGAAAGCAUGGGGAGCAAACAGGAUUAGAUACCCCAGUAGUCCCUGUCUCUUAUAA
rnacentral:rRNA from 1 species